rnacentral:rRNA from 1 species
AUUGAACGCUGGCGGCAUGCCUUACACAUGCAAGUCGAACGGCAGCACGGGAGCAAUCCUGGUGGCGAGUGGCGAACGGGUGAGUAAAGUAUCGGAACGUGCCCAGUCGUGGGGGAUAACGUAGCGAAAGUUACGCUAAUACCGCAUACGAUCUAUGGAUGAAAGCGGGGGAUCGCAAGACCUCGCGCGAUUGGAGCGGCCGAUAUCAGAUUAGGUAGUUGGUGGGGUAAAGGCUCACCAAGCCGACGAUCUGUAGCUGGUCUGAGAGGACGACCAGCCACACUGGGACUGAGACACGGCCCAGACUCCUACGGGAGGCAGCAGUGGGGAAUUUUGGACAAUGGGCGCAAGCCUGAUCCAGCCAUGCCGCGUGCAGGAUGAAGGCCUUCGGGUUGUAAACUGCUCUUGUGCGGAACGAAAAGGUUUGACUUAAUACGUUGGACUCAUGACGGUACCGUAAGAAUAAGCACCGGCUAAUUCCGUGCCAGCAGCCGCCGUAA